rnacentral:rRNA from 1 species
AUUGAACGCUGGCGGCAGGCCUAACACAUGCAAGUCGAGCGGAUGAAGGGAGCUUGCUCCUGGAUUCAGCGGCGGACGGGUGAGUAAUGCCUAGGAAUCUGCCUGGUAGUGGGGGAUAGCGUCCGGAAACGGGCGCUAAUACCGCAUACGUCCUGAGGGAGAAAGUGGGGGAUCUUCGGACCUCACGCUAUCAGAUGAGCCUAGGUCGGAUUAGCUAGUUGGUGGGGUAAAGGCCUACCAAGGCGACGAUCCGUAACUGGUCUGAGAGGAUGAUCAGUCACACUGGAACUGAGACACGGUCCAGACUCCUACGGGAGGCAGCAGUGGGGAAUAUUGGACAAUGGGCGAAAGCCUGACCCAGCCAUGCCGCGUGUGUGAAGAAGGUCUUCGGAUUGUAAAGCACUUUAAGUUGGGAGGAAGGGCAGUAAGUUAAUACCUUGCUGUUUUGACGUUACCAACAGAAUAAGCACCGGCUAACUUCGUG